UAGUUAAAGAUAGCGUUACUUAAAAAUG
rnacentral:sRNA from 1 species